GGAUGAAUGAAAAGUUGCGUGAUUUGGAAGAACUCAUACCUAAUUGCACCAAGGAUGACACAAUUACAUUGCUCGACGAAACAUUCGAGUAUAUGAAGAAGCUUGAACAUGAAUUUCAGAUUAUGAAAACAAUCACAGCCAACUCAUACAAGGGACAAAUGAUGCAUCCAUCUUUAGUGCAUCUUUUAUUGGGCGGACAAAGUUCAUCAGAAUCUCUCUCGACAAUUUUGAAUAAAAUGAAGUCGGAACCAAAGUCAGAUGUGGACGGAAAUGUUU